UUAUGGAACAGUUGUUUGUACAACAUAGACUCGGGGUCAUAUAUGUAGAACCAUAUAUAAUAAUAUAGACUUGAAAACUAAAAACAAUCCGCUAUCCAUUAUAUGCAUUGUAUAGACUAGUUUGAAAGUUGAUAAUCCCUCUCAAGUCAAGAAAAAUGUCAAAGAAACGGAAAAGUGCAAGUUUCCCAGAUGAAGAGACGAAGAAAAAGAUGAAGCUUGAUAUAUCUUCAUCAAGCGGAUCGAUCUCUGACGUUAAACAAGAAGAAGAUGGCUCAGAAGAGGGUGUUAUUGAUCCACCAGCAAGUGCAGUAGUUGAUAGCCAAGGCAGCUUGAGCCCAUUAAUGGAGAAUAAACCCAGGUCUUUACAAGAAACAGAAAUUCAGAAUUUUCUUUAAUGAAUAUUUUUGUGCACAUUCUCUCUUUUAACCUCUGCUUGGUUGCCAAGAAAUGGAAAUUAAGAAUUAUGCUACAUUAAUCAUGGCCUCUCUAUUUGUUGUUUCAAUUUUUUCCUUACUUUUUUCUUAACAACCAAACACAGGAGUAGGUUAAUUCGGUUCCUUUCUGCAGGG
rnacentral:lncRNA from 1 species